rnacentral:rRNA from 1 species
CCAUGAUGUCAUUAGUUUGGUGUCUUGGGGAAUCAGGACUGUACUUUGAAAAAAUUAGAGUGUUUAAAGCAGGCUCGCGCUUGAAUACAUUAGCAUGGAAUAAUGAAAUAGGACGUUUGAUUCUAUUUUGUUAGGUUUCUAGGAUGACGUAAUGAUUAAUAGGGAUAGUUGGGGGCAUUUAGUAUUCAAUUGUCAAAGGUGAAAUUCUUGGAUUUAUUGAAGACUAACUACUGCGAAAGCAUUUGCCAAGGAUGUUUUCAUUAAUCAAGAACGAAAAGUUAGGGGGAUCGAAGACGAUCAGAUACCGUCGUAGUCUUAGCCAUAAACUAUGCCGACUAGGGAUCGGAUGAUGUUAAUUUUUUAAUGACUCAUUCGGCUCCUUACG